GACUUGCUCCUUGGGUAAGACACAGAAUGGAGCUGCGCCGCACUGGGCUCCUUGAAGGAAGACCUUUGUGUGGCCAGACGCUAACGCAGGGUUUCAGCUUGGACCUCUGCUGCACACCAAGGAGCAGGGAAACCGGAAGGAGCCGAGACCAUCCCAAGGGAAGCAUCCUCCAAGGUCAAACUGAAAGAACUAGGGGGAAACAGCAACAAGUAGCAGGAUUCA
rnacentral:lncRNA from 1 species